rnacentral:rRNA from 1 species
UACGUAGGGUGCAAGCGUUAUCCGGAAUUAUUGGGCGUAAAGAGCUCGUAGGCGGUUUGUCGCGUCUGCUGUGAAAACUGGGGGCUCAACCCCCAGCCUGCAGUGGGGUACGGGCAGACUAGAGUGCGGUAGGGGAGAUUGGAAUUCCUGGUGUAGACGGUGGAAUGCGCAGAUAUCAGGAGGAACACCGAUGGCGAAGGCAGAUCUCUGGGCCGUAACUGACGCUGAGGAGCGGAAAGCAUGGGGAGCGAACAGG